GAUGAACGCUAGCGGCAGGCUUAAUACAUGCAAGUCGAGGGGCAGCAUGAAUGUAGCAAUACAUUUGACGGCGACCGGCAAACGGGUGCGGAACACGUACACAACCUUCCUAUAAGUGGGGAAUAGCCCAGAGAAAUUUGGAUUAAUACCCCGUAACAUAAUGAUGUGGCAUCACAUUAUUAUUAUAGCUACGGCGCUUGUUGAUGGGUGUGCGGCUGAUUAGAUAGUUGGCGGGGUAACGGCCCACCAAGUCUACGAUCAGUAGCUGAUGUGAGAGCAUGAUCAGCCACACGGGCACUGAGACACGGGCCCGACUCCUACGGGAGGCAGCAGUAAGGAAUAUUGGUCAAUGGACGCAAGUCUGAACCAGCCAUGCCGCGUGAAGGAUUAAGGUCCUCUGGAUUGCAAACUUCUUUUAUCUGGGACGAAAAAAGGCUAUUCUUAGUCACUUGACGGUACCAGAUGAAUAAGCACCGGCUAACUCCGUGCCAGCCGCCGCGGUAACAC
rnacentral:rRNA from 1 species